GAUAGCCUUCAUUCACCUUGCAAAAGGUUGCCGCCGGAUAUGCAUUGCAACGUUGAAAUUAUAACCCGCCCAGAUAAAAUAUGGAAAACUGUCAUUAAUGAACUUAACAAACGUGUCUUCAGGAAAAGGUGGACAGAUGAGUAAUAGCCAGCUGUUCAGCAAAGGAAACAUGUCGUGUUUAGAAUUAAACUUUCAGAGGUAAAACAGAAAAACACCAGUUCAUUCACAGUUAAGAGCAGAUUCAUACUGCUCUUCUCCACAAGGCACGCCAUGGAAACUCAAUCUUGAAACAGAAUCUGAACCCAAAUUGCAAAACCCCGGAGUGGUAACACCCACAUAGCAAAAACACUGCAUGACAACAUCUCUAAAUUCGCAUUCCAACCACUUCGCAUUGAGAACUGGAUUCGGAACUCCAAUUCUCACCUCCUACAGAACGAAAUCACGUCAUCUAUCACACAACAUCUGGAGGUGAACUAACCUGCAAUCAGGCGAGUUGAAAAAUCUAUUUCACAAUGCAGUUCCUUUGCGACAUGUUAACUCUACCGCAGGUUUCAAAUGA
rnacentral:lncRNA from 1 species